UUAAGCGACUAAGCGUACACGGUGGAUGCCCUGGCAGUCAGAGGCGAUGAAGGACGUGCUAAUCUGCGAAAAGCGUCGGUAAGGUGAUAUGAACCGUUAUAACCGGCGAUGUCCGAAUGGGGAAACCCAGUGUGAUUCGUCACACUAUCGUUAACUGAAUACAUAGGUUAACGAGGCGAACCGGGGGAACUGAAACAUCUAAGUACCCCGAGGAAAAGAAAUCAACCGAGAUUCCCCCAGUAGCGGCGAGCGAACGGGGAGCAGCCCAGAGUCUGAAUCAGCUUGUGUGUUAGUGGAACGGUCUGGAAAGUCCGACGGUACAGGGUGAUAGUCCCGUACACCAAAAUGCACAGGCUGUGAACUCGAAGAGUAGGGCGGGACACGUGGUAUCCUGUCUGAAUAUGGGGGGACCAUCCUCCAAGGCUAAAUACUCCUGACUGACCGAUAGUGAACCAGUACCGUGAGGGAAAGGCGAAAAGAACCCCGGCGAGGGGAGUGAAAAAGAACCUGAAACCGUGUACGUACAAGCAGUGGGAGCACCUUCGGGUGUGACUGCGUACCUUUUGUAUAAUGGGUCAGCGACUUAUAUUCUGUAGCAAGGUUAACCGUAUAGGGGAGCCGCAGGGAAACCGAGUCUUAACUGGGCGUUAAGUUGCAGGGUAUAGACCCGAAACCCGGUGAUCUAGCCAUGGGCAGGUUGAAGGUUGGGUAACACUAACUGGAGGACCGAACCGACUAAUGUUGAAAAAUUAGCGGAUGACUUGUGGCUGGGGGUGAAAGGCCAAUCAAACCGGGAGAUAGCUGGUUCUCCCCGAAAGCUAUUUAGGUAGCGCCUCGUGAACUCAUCUUCGGGGGUAGAGCACUGUUUCGGCUAGGGGGUCAUCCCGACUUACCAACCCGAUGCAAACUACGAAUACCGAAGAAUGUUAUCACGGGAGACACACGGCGGGUGCUAACGUCCGUCGUGAAGAGGGAAACAACCCAGACCGCCAGCUAAGGUCCCAAAGUCAUGGUUAAGUGGGAAACGAUGUGGGAAGGCACAGACAGCCAGGAUGUUGGCUUAGAAGCAGCCAUCAUUUAAAGAAAGCGUAAUAGCUCACUGGUCGAGUCGGCCUGCGCGGAAGAUGUAACGGGGCUAAACCAUGCACCGAAGCUGCGGCAGCGACACUAUGUGUUGUUGGGUAGGGGAGCGUUCUGUAAGCCUGCGAAGGUGNNNNNNNNNNNNNNNNNNNNNNNNNNNNNNNNNNNNNNNNNNNNNNNNNNUGCUGGAGGUAUCAGAAGUGCGAAUGCUGACAUAAGUAACGAUAAAGCGGGUGAAAAGCCCGCUCGCCGGAAGACCAAGGGUUCCUGUCCAACGUUAAUCGGGGCAGGGUGAGUCGACCCCUAAGGCGAGGCCGAAAGGCGUAGUCGAUGGGAAACAGGUUAAUAUUCCUGUACUUGGUGUUACUGCGAAGGGGGGACGGAGAAGGCUAUGUUAGCCGGGCGACGGUUGUCCCGGUUUAAGCAUGUAGGCUGAUUGUCCAGGCAAAUCCGGAUAAUCAAGGCUGAGGUGUGAUGACGAGGCACUACGGUGCUGAAGUAACAAAUGCCCUGCUUCCAGGAAAAGCCUCUAAGCAUCAGGUAACAUCAAAUCGUACCCCAAACCGACACAGGUGGUCAGGUAGAGAAUACCAAGGCGCUUGAGAGAACUCGGGUGAAGGAACUAGGCAAAAUGGUGCCGUAACUUCGGGAGAAGGCACGCUGGUGUGUAGGUGAAGUCCCUGCGGAUGGAGCUGAGACCAGUCGAAGAUACCAGCUGGCUGCAACUGUUUAUUAAAAACACAGCACUGUGCAAACACGAAAGUGGACGUAUACGGUGUGACGCCUGCCCGGUGCCGGAAGGUUAAUUGAUGGGGUUAUCCGUAAGGAGAAGCUCUUGAUCGAAGCCCCGGUAAACGGCGGCCGUAACUAUAACGGUCCUAAGGUAGCGAAAUUCCUUGUCGGGUAAGUUCCGACCUGCACGAAUGGCGUAAUGAUGGCCAGGCUGUCUCCACCCGAGACUCAGUGAAAUUGAACUCGCUGUGAAGAUGCAGUGUACCCGCGGCAAGACGGAAAGACCCCGUGAACCUUUACUAUAGCUUGACACUGAACAUUGAGCCUUGAUGUGUAGGAUAGGUGGGAGGCUUUGAAGCGUGGACGCCAGUCUGCGUGGAGCCAACCUUGAAAUACCACCCUUUAAUGUUUGAUGUUCUAACGUUGGCCCCUUACCGGGGUUGCGGACAGUGUCUGGUGGGUAGUUUGACUGGGGCGGUCUCCUCCCAAAGCGUAACGGAGGAGCACGAAGGUUAGCUAAUCCUGGUCGGACAUCAGGAGGUUAGUGCAAUGGCAUAAGCUAGCUUGACUGCGAGCGUGACGGCGCGAGCAGGUGCGAAAGCAGGUCAUAGUGAUCCGGUGGUUCUGAAUGGAAGGGCCAUCGCUCAACGGAUAAAAGGUACUCCGGGGAUAACAGGCUGAUACCGCCCAAGAGUUCAUAUCGACGGCGGUGUUUGGCACCUCGAUGUCGGCUCAUCACAUCCUGGGGCUGAAGUAGGUCCCAAGGGUAUGGCUGUUCGCCAUUUAAAGUGGUACGCGAGCUGGGUUUAGAACGUCGUGAGACAGUUCGGUCCCUAUCUGCCGUGGGCGCUGGAGAAUUGAGGGGGGCUGCUCCUAGUACGAGAGGACCGGAGUGGACGCAUCACUGGUGUUCGGGUUGUCAUGCCAAUGGCACUGCCCGGUAGCUAAAUGCGGAAGAGAUAAGUGCUGAAAGCAUCUAAGCACGAAACUUGCCCCGAGAUGAGUUCUCCCUGAGACUUUAAGUCUCCUGAAGGAACGUUGAAGACGACGACGUUGAUAGGCCGGGUGUGUAAGCGCAGCGAUGCGUUGAGCUAACCGGUACUAAUGAACCGUGAGGCUUAACCUU
rnacentral:rRNA from 1 species